rnacentral:misc_RNA from 1 species
GGGAAUAGAGGUGGAGAGCAGGAGAAGAACAGUUCUUUGAAGGGUCAAGCCAAGAAGCUUCCAUUGUUUCGCACCAUAAGCUUGUCCACAAAUGGGCUCCAUUCCCAUAGCCAAUCCAGAGAUAACAGAGUAUCCAGUGAUGUUGGCAAAGCCGAUGGAGAGGGAGCCACCAGCAAGCUCAAGUUCCCCAAGAUAACCAAGGAAAAGCAUGGAGAUCAU